CGGCAACAGCUCAAAUUUGAAAUCUGGCCCCCUCGGGGCCCGAGUUGUAAUUUGGAGAAGAUGCUUCGGGUGUGGCCCCGGUCUAAGUUCCUUGGAACAGGACGUCACAGAGGGUGAGAAUCCCGU
rnacentral:rRNA from 1 species